CCUACGGGCGGCAGCAGUGGGGGAUAUUGCACAAUGGGGGAAACCCUGAUGCAGCGACGCCGCGUGGGUGAAGAAGCGCCUCGGCGCGUAAAGCCCUGUCAGCAGGGAGGAAAAUGACGGUACCUGAAGCAGAAGCCACGGCUAACUACGUGCCAGCAGCCGCGGGAAUACGUAGGGGGCACGCGUGAUCCGGAUUUACUGGGGGUAAAGGGGGCGCAGACGGCGAUGCAAGUCAGGAGUGAAAGCCCUGGGCCCAACCCCGGGACUGCUCGUGGUACUGGGUGGCUAGAGUGCAGUAGGGGCAGGCGGAAUUCCAGGUGUAGCGGUGAAAUGCGUAGAGAUCAGGAGGAACACCGGUGGCGAAGGCGGCCUGCUGGACUGCAACUGACGUUGAGGCGCGAAAGCGUGGGGAGCAAACAGGAUUAGAUACCCGGGUAGUC
rnacentral:rRNA from 1 species